rnacentral:lncRNA from 1 species
UUCCAGUCCUGUUUUCAAGACAAGAAUUAUACAGAGGAUUUGAAAAUGGUAGUGUUCCUGCUCGUGUACGAGAACAGAAGUGAAGAAAGCUCUGUAGAGCCUCUCUCUGUACAAGUUGCAUGGAGUUGAGCAGGACCUGUGCUCUAACAUGUGCCCCAGAAGGGUAAUGAGAGCCCAAAAUACUGCUUGAAUGAAGGAUAUUCAGUUUAUUUGGAGAUGCUGAGCCAUCACAAAAAGAAAGGAAUUGCAGCUGAAAGCCCGAGGAGAGCUGAACCUGAGAUUGGUUCUGUCGUCGGUCCCUGUUCCCCGCAGCGGUUUGUUCCACGAUCCCAGGAGCCGGUACCACCCGACGAGCCCUGCAGCAGAGGAUGCUCCACACGACACAACCUCUGCUGAAGCUGUCACGGAGUUGGGUUCAUUUUUCAUGUGGCUGUUUCUGGAGACGCAGUAACUCCCUGCACGAUGAAUUAGCGCACUGCAAGACUGCUGAAAAACAGAAGGUUGUAUUGCAUUUCUGUAUUAUGUAUUAUAUUUAUCAAUAUCCAUCUCUUCCUCUUUAUCAUCUAUUAAUUGUG